GGUGUCGGUUGCAUUUGGGUCCUUUUCUCUAUUUAUUUGUUGAAUAUAUUUGAUACGACCUUCAACAAACUCCCCCAAGCUUACCUCUUGCUCGUCCGUGAGCAAGGAUAAUCUUAGUGAUGGAUCAGAAGUUGCUGUAAUGCCUUUGAGUUUUGACGGUACACAUGCUUUCAAAUAAGGUCUCAUCUCUGAGUUAGAGUAAACCGUCAAGACUUAAAACUUACUCAUUUUACCUUUCACCAUGGGACUUGUAACUGUCACUUCUGUCUUGAGUAGUUAAAAGAUAAAACAGUCUAGUCAAGCGCCAUAUCUUUUAUUCUUGAUCAGCUAUAGCUCUAGAGUUUUUUUUAUAGAUUUUCAAAUAAAACUCAGAGAUUCCUUAUAUGACUCUCUCAGAUCUCUCUUUUGUGGUAUUUCUGGAUCCUUACCAAGGCAGUGAUGGUAUAUGCCUUCUCUCAAAGUAUGUAAUAUUUGUGGUAUGAAGCAUAGUGACCUUGUCUUCUCUCUCACCCUACUUUAAUAAGGCUUUUGAUAUCUGGAGCUCAUAGGUGGGAGAUAAAGUAUACAUACUUACAAGACAUUUAUUGCAUAGUCAAACCAUGGAUCGAGAGAAACAAGUCAAUAAGUCAAAUCAAGAUGUGCAUGUGUGGCGAAUGAAUGGUGUAUGGUGAUGAUGGUGAUAACAAUGGUGAAAGUCUAAUUCUACUUUUUGCUCUUUUGAGGGGAUACAUACCUUUCUUGCUCUUUUGAAACUUUUUGAGGAGAAUGAGAUGCUCUACAUUUUCUUUUUUUUCUUUCCUCUCAGGUGGGUAUUGCACCCCUAAUUCUACUGUCGGACACUUGUCCAUUUUUACUUCUCGUCUCACUUUUUUCUUUUUCUUUCGAGGUUCGGUGCACUUGUCCCUUUUUUAUUUCCUCGUAUCAUUUCUCUUUUUUUAGAGCACUCAUCUCCUGAAAUAAUAUAGCAAGUGGUAGUAACCAAGAUAACUUGAGCAUUUAUUUCACAGAGAAAAAUAGAAAUAGGAGAAUGUUUUUGGCUAUUCUCUCCCGGAUUAGGAGUAGAAUACUUUUGGGUGGCUCUUGAGAUGGAAAUGAGUGGAUAUAUGUGAAUGCGUACUCCCAGAGUAGAAGCAGCAUGUGUGAGUGAACGUGCAAGUGAAUCUUGAUUUUAACCGCAUGACAAGCUCCUAAGGGUCUACACAGCUUGACCACACUCAAUGCUCAUAAGCAGUAAAAAGUAAUGUGUGGCUCAAAGUCUAGCAAGCAUGUAUAUAUGGCUGUGGUAGGAAUUUAAACUCUCAUCAUACAGGAACUCAUCAUGUGUUAUUUUAAAGAUUUCAAAGAUAAAAUUCUCCAGAAUUCUAGCAUCUCUAGGAACAGAUAAACAACAGCUCAACCUUCCCAUAUCAUAUCCGUUAACAACUUAGACUUCAGAUCAAGUUCUCUUCCCACAAGUUCAGGUUUUUAGAGCAAGCUUUAAAUUAUAACAGUUAUGUCUAAACUAGAGAGAGAACUCAAAUUUGAAAAUUAGGCAGAGCAACUAUUCAUCAUAUCCAUGCUAGAGUUUUAUUAAGAUUCAGUUUAGCAUAGCCACUUUAUUUAUUUAUUAAGCACACUAAGCAAAAUAUAUAUAUAUAUAUAUAUAUAUAUAUAUAUAUAUAUAUAUAAGCACAAAAUCUUUAUUUGGUUUUUCAUGGUUAUGUAUAUAUAUAUAUUUAUUUAUUUUAAUAU
rnacentral:lncRNA from 1 species